AACGAACGCUGGUGGCAUGCCUAACACAUGCAAGUCGAACGAAGGCUUCGGCCUUAGUGGCGCACGGGUGCGUAACGCGUGGGAAUCUGCCCUUAGGUUCGGAAUAACAGUUAGAAAUGACUGCUAAUACCGGAUGAUGACGUAAGUCCAAAGAUUUAUCGCCUGAGGAUGAGCCCGCGUAGGAUUAGCUAGUUGGUGUGGUAAAGGCGCACCAAGGCGACGAUCCUUAGCUGGUCUGAGAGGAUGAUCAGCCACACUGGGACUGAGACACGGCCCAGACUCCUACGGGAGGCAGCAGUGGGGAAUAUUGGACAAUGGGCGCAAGCCUGAUCCAGCAAUGCCGCGUGAGUGAUGAAGGCCUUAGGGCUGUAAAGCUCUUUUACCCGUGAUGAUAAUGACAGUAGCGGGAGAAUAAGCCCCGGCUAACUCCGUG
rnacentral:rRNA from 1 species